AUUGAACGCUGGCGGCAUGCUUUACACAUGCAAGUCGAACGGCAGCGCGGGCUUCGGCCUGGAGGCGAGUGGCGAACGGGUGAGUAAUUCAUCGGAACGUGCCCAGUAGUGGGGGAUAGCUCGGCGAAAGCCGGAUUAAUACCGCAUACGACCUGAGGGUGAAAGCGGGGGAUCUUCGGACAUCGCGCUAUUUGAUCGGCCGAUGGCAGAUUAGCUAGUUGGUGGGGUAAAGGCCUACCAAGGCGACGAUCUGUAGCUGGUCUGAGAGGACGACCAGCCACACUGGGACUGAGACACGGCCCAGACUCCUACGGGAGGCAGCAGUGGGGAAUUUUGGACAAUGGGCGAAAGCCUGAUCCAGCAAUGCCGCGUGUGUGAUGAAGGCCUUCGGGUUGUAAAGCACUUUUGGCGGGAACGAAAAGGACUGUGCCAAUACCACGGUUCGAUGACGGUACCCGCAGAGUAAGCACCGGCUAACUACGUG
rnacentral:rRNA from 1 species